GGCCGCCGACUGCGGCGGGCGGAGCGCGGCAGGGCUGCACGGGGGCGAAAGGAGAGAGAAAAGGGAUGAGGGGAAGGAGCGGGGGGGGGGGAGGAAUAAUCGAUAAACAGCGCAACUCGAGCCUUCCUUAAACCAACGGAAAGAAAACGGGUAGAGAAAUACUCGCCGGGCUGCGAGUGCCGCCCCCCGGCCUGGCCCCCGUGCCGCGGAACGGAGGGUUCGGGGCAGCGCUGCCCCUAUCGCGCGGAACCGCACCGCGCCCCGCCCGCAGCGGCGCCCCCCGGCAGCGGCAAAGCCGGGGCCGCCGCGCUGAACUCCCGCUGACCGAAUGCUCGGCCCCGCCGUGCCCCCGGCCUCGCGCGGAGGGCGCGCUCCGGGCAGAUGCGCCGGAGACGGUCAAAUGACCCCCGGCAGCCACCCCCUGCUCGCCUCGAGGCACCCCCGGGGCCAGGCAGGGGCAAGGAAAGCACAACUAUAAUAUUGCCGCCCGACCCCCCUCCCUCCCCCCCCCCCCCCAAACACCGCCCGGGCUCGGCUCGCCGCCCCUCCACGGAGCACAGGGGAAGAAGGGCUCGUUUUAACCGAACUCGAGCAGCGCGAGGGAGCGGCGGGAAGAAAGAGGAUGCACAG
rnacentral:lncRNA from 1 species